GACCCGCCUACCAUACCACUGUGGUAUGGUACCACGCUUUUUGUCUUCUUUUAAAACCACCGUUCGAUGAUUGAGAGAAAAUCUAACGGCUAAAAAAAAUGUAAAGGAAAAGUAGAGCAACCGGUUGCUCCCGAUUGCUCCAAGGCACUGUGGCUGGCUUUAUUAAUCAAUUAAUAAAGAUCCAGAUAUUGAUUAAAGUUCUUAUUUCAUUAGCUUUGACUGGCCAUCAUACAAAACCCUUCCAGCACCGAUAAAUUGCUGAAAUAAUUUACAGAGAAAAAAUGUCGAUAAAACCCUUCAAUUUCCGAUGGAAUCGUAGUGGUAUUCGGCCAAAUUAGUU
rnacentral:lncRNA from 1 species